GGGAAAAAAUGCAAUCUAAAGAGAUUAGACGUUCCCUUCGGGGACAUGGAUACAGGUGGUGCAUGGUUGUCGUCAGCUCGUGUCGUGAGAUGUUGGGUUAAGUCCCGCAACGAGCGCAACCCUUAUUAUCAGUUGCCAGCAUUAAGUUGGGCACUCUGGUGAGACUGCCGGUGACAAACCGGAGGAAGGUGGGGAUGACGUCAAAUCAUCAUGCCCCUUAUGACCUGGGCUACACACGUGCUACAAUGGAUGGUACAACGAGUUGCGAACUCGCGAGAGUAAGCUAAUCUCUUAAAGCCAUUCUCAGUUCGGAUUGUAGGCUGCAACUCGCCUACAUGAAGUCGGAAUCGCUAGUAAUCGCGGAUCAGCAUGCCGCGGUGAAUACGUUCCCGGGUCUUGUACACACCGA
rnacentral:rRNA from 2 species